rnacentral:rRNA from 1 species
AGUCGACGACACUUCGGUGUUAGUGGCGCACGGGUGCGUAACGCGUGGGAAUCUACCCCUUGGUUCGGAAUAACAGUUAGAAAUGACUGCUAAUACCGGAUGAUGACGAAAGUCCAAAGAUUUAUCGCCAAGGGAUGAGCCCGCGUAGGAUUAGCUAGUUGGUGAGGUAAAGGCUCACCAAGGCGACGAUCCUUAGCUGGUCUGAGAGGAUGAUCAGCCACACUGGGACUGAGACACGGCCCAGACUCCUACGGGAGGCAGCAGUAGGGAAUAUUGGACAAUGGGCGAAAGCCUGAUCCAGCAAUGCCGCGUGAGUGAUGAAGGCCUUAGGGUUGUAAAGCUCUUUUACCCGAGAUGAUAAUGACAGUAUCGGGAGAAUAAGCUCCGGCUAACUCCGUGCCAGCAGCCGCGGUAAUACGGAGGGAGCUAGCGUUGUUCGGAAUUACUGGGCGUAAAGCGCACGUAGGCGGCGAUUUAAGUCAGAGGUGAAAGCCCGGGGCUCAACCCCGGAACUGCCUUUGAGACUGGAUUGCUUGAAUCUUGGAGAGGUGAGUGGAAUUCCGAGUGUAGAGGUGAAAUUCUU